CGUAUGCUCCCUCCGUCCAACAAAAGAUGUAUCAACUUUGUCAAAAGUUGGAUGUAUCUAGACAUGACUUAGUGUAUAGAUGCAUUCAAAUUUAGUCAAAGUUGAAACAUCCUUUGUUGGACGGAGGGAGUAUAAU
rfam:Brachypodium distachyon strain Bd21 chromosome 3, whole genome shotgun sequence.